rnacentral:rRNA from 1 species
UAUUAAAGUUGUUGCAGUUAAAAAGCUCGUAGUUGAAUUUCGGGGUUAGUAGGUUGGUCAUGCCUCUGGUAUGUACUGGUCUCACUGAUUCCUCCUUCCUGAUGAGCCGUAAUGCCAUUAAUUUGGUGUUGCGGGGAAUUUGGACUGUUACUUUGAAAAAAUUAGAGUGUUUAAAGCAGGCUUACGCUUGAAUACAUUAGCAUGGAAUAAUGAAAUAGGACGUUUGAUUCUAUUUUGUUGGUUUCUAGGAUCGACGUAAUGAUUAAUAGGGAUAGUUGGGGGCAUUAGUAUUCAAUUGUCAGAGGUGAAAUUCUUGGAUUUAUUGAAGACUAACUACUGCGAAAGCAUUUGCCAAGGAUGUUUUCAUUAAUCAAGAACGAAAGUUAGGGGAUCGAAGACGAUCAGAUACCGUCGUAGUCUUAACC